rnacentral:pre_miRNA from 2 species
GCCUCGUCGGGAGUUCUCUUCAAGCACUUCAGGAUGCGUCUCUUCAGGAACUUCUCUGAAGUGUUUGGGGGAACUCUUGGUGUUAC